UAUCCGUAGUAAGUAAAAAACCCUACCUAAUUAUAGGCACGUAGAACUUCUUUACUAACUGAAAUAGGGUGAACCUUCGGAUGGAUCAUUAAAAAGAGUGAGUCGAUUUAGCGAUAAAUCGAUUCAACUCCCACUCUUGUUUAAGCGGAGACGCAAUCUAUUCAAGUGUUACACAAGUGUAGCACAACUA
rnacentral:misc_RNA from 1 species